UUUGUUCUUGUCUUUGGGGGAAGCCAGGUGUGUACGGCAGCAGUGACUUGCAGCCCACUGGAGCUAGCUCCAUGCGCCACAGCAAUCACAUCCUCAAGCCCUCCCUCUGCCAUAUGUUGCGGCAAACUGAAGGAGCAGAGGCCUUGCCUUUGCAAGUAUGUCAAGGACCCUAACCUCCAGAAGCUGGUCAACUCCCCAAACGCCAAGAAGGUGGCAAGCACUUGUGGCUCCCCAUUUCCCUCAUGCUCUAGCUAA
rnacentral:lncRNA from 1 species